rnacentral:rRNA from 1 species
UGGGGAAUAUUGGACAAUGGGCGAAAGCCUGAUCCAGCGACGCCGCGUGGGUGAGGAAGGCCUGCGGGUUGUAAAGCCCUUUCGGUGGGGAAGAAAAGCCUCGAGCGAAUACCUCGGGGUCUUGACGUAACCCAUAGAAGAAGCACCGGCUAACUCUGUGCCAGCAGCCGCGGUAAUACAGAGGGUGCGAGCGUUAAUCGGAAUUACUGGGCGUAAAGCGCGCGUAGGCGGCUUUGCAAGUCGGGUGUGAAAUCCCCAGGCUUAACCUGGGAACUGCAUUCGAGACUGCAUGGCUAGAGUAUGGGAGAGGGAAGUGGAAUUUCCGGUGUAGAGGUGAAAUACGUAGAUAUCGGAAGGAACAUCAGUGGCGAAAGCGACUUCCUGGACCAAUACUGACGCUCAUGUGCGAAAGCGUGGGGAGCAAACA